rnacentral:rRNA from 1 species
GAUGAACGCUGGCGGCGUGCUUAACACAUGCAAGUCGAACGAAGCACCUCUCCCGAAGAUUGACACAGCUUGCUGUAGAUUGAUUCAUUUGAGGUGACUGAGUGGCGGACGGGUGAGUAACGCGUGGGUAACCUGCCUCAUAGAGGGGGACAACAGUUGGAAACGACUGCUAAUACCGCAUAGUAAGAAGAAUUCGCAUGUUUUCUUCUUGAAAGAUUUAUCGCUAUGAGAUGGACCCGCGUCUGAUUAGCUAGUUGGUAAGGUAACGGCUUACCAAGGCGACGAUCAGUAGCCGGCUUGAGAGAGUGAACGGCCACAUUGGGACUGAGACACGGCCCAAACUCCUACGGGAGGCAGCAGUGGGGAACAUUGCACAAUGGGGGAAACCCUGAUGCAGCGACGCCGCGUGAGUGAAGAAGUAUUUCGGUAUGUAAAGCUCUAUCAGCAGGGAAGAUAAUGACGGUACCUGACUAAGAAGCCCCGGCUAACUACGUG